UGGGGAAUAUUGGACAAUGGGGGCAACCCUGAUCCAGCGAUGCCGCGUGUGCGAAGAAGGCCUGCGGGUUGUAAAGCACUUUGGUUGGGGAAGAAAUUUGAUUGUUUAAGAGAUGAUUGAAAUGACGUUACCCAAAGAACAAGCGCCGGCUAACUCUGUGCCAGCAGCCGCGGUAAUACAGAGGGCGCGAGCGUUAAUCGGAAUUACUGGGCGUAAAGGGUGCGUAGGCGGUUAUUUAAGUUAGAUGUGAAAUCCCCGGGCUUAACCUGGGAAUUGCAUUUAAGACUGAAUGACUAGAGUAGAGUAGAGGGAAGUGGAAUUUCCGGUGUAGCGGUGAAAUGCGUAGAUAUCGGAAAGAACAUCAGUGGCGAAGGCGGCUUCCUGGACUCAUACUGACGCUGAGGCACGAAAGCAUGGGGAGCAAACAGGAUUAGAUACCCCAGUAGUCCCUGAGCGGGCUGGCAAGGCGCAU
rnacentral:rRNA from 1 species